CCUACGGGUGGCAGCAGUGAGGAAUAUUGGUCAAUGGACGAGAGUCUGAACCAGCCAAGUAGCGUGAAGGAUGACUGCCCUAUGGGUUGUAAACUUCUUUUAUAUGGGAAUAAAAUGUUCCACGUGUGGGAUUUUGUAUGUACCAUAUGAAUAAGGAUCGGCUAACUCCGUGCCAGCAGCCGCGGUAAUACGGAGGAUCCGAGCGUUAUCCGGAUUUAUUGGGUUUAAAGGGAGCGUAGGUGGAUUGUUAAGUCAGUUGUGAAAGUUUGCGGCUCAACCGUAAAAUUGCAGUUGAAACUGGCAGUCUUGAGUACAGUAGAGGUGGGCGGAAUUCGGGGUGUAGCGGUGAAAUGCUUAGAUAUCACGAAGAACUCCGAUUGCGAAGGCAGUUCACUGGACUGAAACUGACACUGAGGCUCGAAAGUGUGGGUAUCAAACAGGAUUAGAUACCCCAGUAGUC
rnacentral:rRNA from 1 species